AGACCACUUCCUCUGCUCCCCAGCGCCGGAUGGAUGCAGAUCUGUGAGUAAGGAGCCAGCUGCAGGCAAGCAGCUCGAGGGCAGGUGGGCAUGAUGUCUGGCUACCACUCGCACUGGACGCCACACACACAGCCAGGGUGGCAGAAGGCCCCACCUGCCAUGUGCCAGUGGGACACCACCCUCAUGGUCUGCGUUUCCAGGUUUCCAACUAAGGACUGAGCACACUCUCAACAUGGACCUCCUAACUGCUCUCGAGGAUGGACAGCUGGCCUCAAGGGAACACUGCAAAGUGGCUCUAGGAAGAAGCCACUGUCCCUCCAGACCAUAAAAAUGGCUACCAAGGGCAGAGCCAGCAGCUUUCGCUGUAAAGUUUCUCAAGAAAAUCACAGAUAUUCCCCUCUGUGAUGUUCAGCUCAGCCUGGAAAGGAGGACGCUGAACUAAACAGAAGAGAAACAGGGAAAUAAACAGCAUGGCAACCUACAUCAACAGAAACUUAAUUAUUCACCCUGGAUAACUGAGUGUGUGAGUGUGACUGCAAAUAACAAUAUAGCAAAGAGAAGUUUGAGAUCUUUGGCUCAGUCAUUCUAGAAUCCUGAGUCACAGCAAAUGCACAGCCUCCAUGAGGCUGAGCCACACAUGAAAGCUGCUUCCACCCACAGACUGGUAGAGGCCACUGACAUGCUUAACGAUGAUGAUGAUGAUAAAAAUAGCUACCACGGGCUACCACGUGCACACACAUGUUAAGCAGUUCAAACAGGUUAUUUUGUUUAAUUCAUACCACAAAUCUUUGAGGUAAGUAUUCUUGUUCCCGUUUUAUAGAGGUAGAAACUGAGAGUUGAAGAGGCUGAAUAAUUUCUCAAGCACACUCCCAACUCGACCACCCACAAGCAAAAAGGCAGAGCUGGGAUUCAAACACAGGUAUGACUGUGUGUGGACAUCUCCCCUGUGCUAUGCUCCCUGAAGGAAAAUUCUAAGUGGUGUUGUUUCUGGGAGAAAUCUACCUGUGUGGUCUUUAAACCUACUCUGACAGGAGCAAGGGCCACCACUCUGUAUCUAAGACCACUGGGAACAGUCUUCAGGCAACAAGGUGACCAGGGCAGCUGCAGAGGGUAUCUAUGCCCCUGCCCCCUAGCGCAAAAGUCUGUUUCUCUUUCCAAAUGGCCCGCUGGGAGCAACUAUUUAGGGAGACCAUACCUCCUCCCACACUCAGUUCCCAGGCCUGAGCCACAGAGUCCUGCCACAGGAGGGAGGACCUGCCUGUCCUGCUCCCUCCCCACUCCAGGUUCCUGGAGGCCUCUGUGAUGAUUCCCCAGGAAGGACUACAGGAUCUGGCAGGCAGCAGGUGGCGGUGGGAGGAGGAGAGUCCUGGGAGCACAGCACUCCUAACCCCCUCUGCCUCUCACAGAACAAAGAGGGAGUCAUGCCAUGUCCCCUGCUCCCACAAAUGCCCCACCCAGAGGGGCUAAUGCCUAGGAUUGAGGGUCUUGUGUGCUGAGGAAGUCCUGUCCCCCAAUCCCCUACAAAAGCCAGAACCAGCUACUAAGGGGUUAGACACAGACAGAACUGUCUAUAUUAACAUUUCCUCCUAAAAAACAACAGGAAUCCUGGGGAAAGACCACUGGCCUGGGACUCCAUGAGCCCUGGCUUCUAUCUCUGGCUUUAUCAGGUGACCAUAGGCAAGUCACCUAGCCUCCAUGGUCUAGGCUCUCCUGCCUGUUGGGUGGGAAUCAUUACAUAUCACAAUCAUUACAGCUGACCUUCAGGGAGGCUGUACUCUGGGUCAGGAAUUGUGUUGGGUGCAUUAUCAUAUUUAUUCUCACAGCACCCUUUGCAGUAGCUACUAUUUUCAUACCCAUUCUCAGAUGAGGAAACUGUGGAACAGGCUGGUUAGGGGACAUGCCCAAAGUGACAAACUUAGCAAAGGUGGACCUGGCACUCAGUACCACAUCUGUUUUUCCAUGCUCUUAACCACUGUAACAUACAGAGCCCUUUUACAGAGAUCAAGGACAGAGGUAAAAGUGUUUUGAAAGCAAAAAAAAAAAAGUGGGGAGGAUGCAUAAAAUAAACAUAAAUCACCCCCUGCCCCGCCCAGACAUAAUUCAGGGAAGAGUCCUAACCCCCAAGAACCUUCUGUGGAACUUAUUCGCAACAUCAGAGACCUCCAACAUAGAAAUGACCCUCAAUAAGUCAUUCCUCUUUCCCUUCAGGCAGGAAUAAUAUAACUAACUGAAUUAUACAGGUGAGACCACGAAGGUCAAGCAAGGGUGACCAGCUUAGGCCCCUGGCUGGCAGGUAAGGAGGAGACUGACCCCAGCCUCCUGGCUCCUAGGGGAGGAAACAGUGAUGACAAAGGCCCCUUUGCAUGGCCAAGGUGGAGCCCUUUCUACCAAAGUUUAAACGUUUUAGUAUAAUAUCCAAGUGCAUCUUUUCCAACCUUAAAAACAUAUUUAAUUUCCUUAUAAAGCUGGUUGGCACUCUCCUCCUCCUCCAAAGCUCUGUAUUAGGCAGGGUUCAUAGUUGUAGACAACAGAAUGAACAGUGGUUAGUUCAGCCAGAAAAGGGAUGAUAUAGGAGGAUACUGGGUUGAUCAAAGGCUCUCUGGGAGGGCUGCAGAUUUAGAGCCAGUCAGCCAGGAACGAUGCCUGAAACAUACCUUAGAGCUGGAGAAAGAACAAAACCCUACCUUUCUUCAAUAGCUGGCAAGGUGGCAAGGUCUGGCCCCAUGCAGCCUGGGCUCUUCCCACUCUCCUCUCUCCCUAAUGCGUUGCCCUACUCGCUGCUUCCCAGGCAAUCCCACCUCAGGUCUAUGAACUUGCCAUUCCCUCUGCCUGCAACCUAGACAUUCACAUUGCUAGCUCCCUGGCUAGCUCAAAUGCCAGGUUUCUGCACAAAUGCUCCUCCUUAGAGAGGCCUUCCUGGACCUCUAGGUCUCUGGCCCUAGUACUCUAUCCCCUCUCCCUGCUUUCCUCUUCUACUUCACUGCUCCUUAACAUUGUGUUAUACAUUGUCUGUCUCCCCAACUGGAAUGUAAGUGGCACCAGGGCAGGGACUUGGGUUGUUUUGUUCCUUGCUGUAAGCCCAGGGCCCAGGGCCAGACCUGGAACAAUUAGGUGCUAAGUUAUUUGCUGAAUAUUCUAUGAAGGAAUGACAAAGGAAUGCAUAAAGAACUUCAAAGUUCAACUCCUCGAACUUCAAACUUCAAAUCCCCAACUCCUCCUGCCUAUGCUGGACGAUUAGGGCAGUAACAGGAGUCAACUUGUGCUGUGCUGUCACCUUGCCUGGAUCCGCAUCAGCCCUGCAGCUCCCACUUUGGAGGAGACUUGCCCAGGGACCUACAGCUCUGAAGCUUCUCUGACAGCCUCUGCAGCUCUUGGAACUUAUCUGGGCUGCUGCUGUGCAGACCAUGGAUGCAUAGCUGAGUUCCUGCCCCUGAUUUCCUAGAGUCUCAGAAAGACAGGGAAGUGACUUACCCAAAGUCCCCUUUCACCCUAUAAACAGUUCAGCCCAGGGAGUGAGGCUGACACGCAAAUGCAGCUAUGUAUAGACUCAGAGUCAUCCAAGGUCAGGGCUGGGUGGAGCCUUGGUCACAUGCAGGCCAACCUGUGUCUGGAGAUAAUGCAAGCCAGUGCAGGGGUUAGCGUGUACAUGGACUCUGGAGUCUGGCAGAUCUAAGCCCCACCCACCAACCUGUGACCUUGGAGAAUUAUUUGAAAAGACAUUAUUUGAAAAGCAGAUGUAAAAUGGAAAUAAAAGUUCCUAUUUAAAACA